CACCUCCUCCUCACCUAACCCGGAAGUCAGGCGAAGCGAAGCGAAGUGACUGACAGACGACGGACGCAAGAGUUCGGUCCAGGUCCUGGUCCUCGCUUCUCUGUCAGUCAUGGUAUUCGAGUCUUUGGUUAGUGACCUCCUGAACAGGUUCGUGGGAGAUUACGUGGAGAACCUGGACAGUUCUCAGCUCCGAAUCGGAAUCUGGGGAGGAAACGUUGUCUUGGAGAACCUGCAAGUGAAGGAAAAUGCACUGAGUCAAUUGGACAUCCCGGUCAAGGUGAAGGCCGGCCUGAUCGGCACGCUGACCUUGAAGAUCCCGUGGAAGAACCUGUACAAGGAGGCGGUGGUGGCCACGCUGGAUGGCCUCUACCUGCUGCUCGUACCCGCCGCGGCCGCCGAGUACGACGAGGCAAAAGAGGAGCGCUACCGGCAGGAGGCCAAACGGCGCGACCUGAUGCGCGUGGAGCAGGCGCUGCAGACGGCGGCCGGACCUGCGCUUAAAGGAUCUAACAAACGCAAAAAGCGCAAAAAAGCAUUGAGGAAGCCGAAAGGCGACGGCAAUUCAGACAAAGCUCAAGAGGAGAAGAAGGACUCGUUGAUGGAGAAGCUGGCCACGCAGGUCAUCAAGAACCUGCAGGUGAAGAUUAGCGGCAUACACCUGAGAUACGAGGACGACGUGUCGGACCCGCGGCGCCCCCUGUCCCUGGGAGUCACGCUGGCAGAACUCAGCCUGCAGACCGCCGACGAAAACUGGAAGUUAUGCGUCCUGGACGAAGCGGCAAAGAUCAUCUACAAGCUGGGCCGACUGGAGCGCCUGUGCGCCUACUGGAACGUCGAGGGUCCCGUCUUCCGCCGAGGAUCCCGCCGAGACGUCGUGGAUCGGCUCAAAUCCGGAAUCGGCGGGGUGGACCGGGAAUUACCUCUCUACGACUACGUUUUCAAGCCCAUCUUCGCCUCGGCCAAAAUCCGCAUCGACCCCGACGCCGAGAAGAAACCGGACUCUCCCAAAGCUCGGCUGGAUCUGGAGGUCCAGAACGUGGACUUCCAGAUCACUAAAGCCCAGUACGUCAGCGUGGUGGAGACGCUGGAGUCGGCGGAGCGCGUGGCCAGGAACGCCCCCUACAGGAAGUUCCGGCCCCGGGUGCCGGUGCGCGACAACGCCUCCGUUUGGUGGCGCUACGCCAUUAGCGGCAUCCUAGAAGUCCACGUGCGCCGGGCCGGCCGGAUGUGGUCCUGGUCCAACAUUAGACAGCACCGGCGGGACGUCAAGGUGUACAAGACGGCCUACAAGAGCAAAAUCCUGAACCGGAACAAGUCGAGCCCGGACGCCGAGCGCCGGCUUCAGGACUUGGAGAACGUUUUGGACGUCUUCAAUAUCACCCUGGCUCGGCAGCAGGCCCAGAUGGAGGCGGUCCGCCCGGGGCAAAAGCCGGCGGCCGAGAAGGCCGACAAGCGGGGAGGAUUCUUCGCCGGCCUCUUCGGUCGCAAGCCCAAGAAGGAGGAGGAGCGAGAGAAGCGAGAGGAAGACGGCGAGGAGGCCGAGGGCUCGGCUCUGGACGCCGUGCUGACGGCCGAGGAGAAGGAGAAGCUCUACGCCGCCAUCGGAUACAGCGCCGGAGACGGCGUUUCGGCCGCGCCCAAAGAGUACGUGGCGUUGGCGCUGGCCUUCCGGCUGCGCGGGGCAUCGCUGACGGUCCGAGAGGGGCCCGGCGUUCCCGAGAUCCUCCGGGUCCAGGUGAUCGGGCUCGGCAGCGCCCUCUGCCACAGACCGGGAGCCCGAGCCCUCAGGGCGGAGGUAUCGCUGCAGCGCUGGAACGUGACGGGCCUGGAACAGAACGGGCGCGUUCCCUCGCUCAUCUCGUCGGCGGAAGACUCCGACCGGGACCCGGACGCGUCUCUGCUGCGCGCGGUCUUUGAGCUCAACCCCGACGACAGCCCGGCCGAUCACGUCGUCCGGAUCCACUCGCAACCCGUGCAGAUCAUCUACGACGCCAUGACGGUCAACAGCUUGGCCGAGUUCUUCGAGACGGGUCAGGAGGUGGACCUGGAAGCGCUGACCUCGGCCACGCUUUCCAAACUGGAGGAGAUCAAAGAGAAGACGGCCGCAGGUUUAGCUCACGUCAUUCAGACCCGCAAGGUUUUGGACUUGAAGGUGGACCUGCGCCCGUCCUACCUGCUGCUGCCCAAAUCCGGCUUCUACUCGGAAAACUCGGAGGUGGUCGUGAUCGACUUUGGAAACCUGCAGUUUAACAGCGCGGACGAGAACCUGCGCUCGCCCUCCUCGUCCUUCUCGUCCCUGGAAGAGAUCAUGGAGCGGGCCUACGAGCGAUACCGCGCCGAGCUGACGCGAGUUCAAGUUCUCUACAGCCAGUCGGGUGACGAGUGGAAGUCUUCCCGUCGGCUGAAUUCGUCGCGGCAGCACGUCCUGCGCCCUCUCGACCUAAAGCUUCGCCUGUCCAAGUGCGUGGUGGACAACGACGCCAGGAUGCCCAGGUUUAAGGUGUCGGGCGAGCUGCCCCUGGUGCACGUCAAGGUGUCGGACGAGAAGAUCCAAAAAGUUCUGGAGCUGGUCCGCGGCAUCCCGCUGCCCCGCGGACGCUCCGCACCUAAGGCGCCCGGAGACAAGGCACCGACCCGGGCGGAGUACGGAGCGCCGGCGCUCGCCAUCGGACCCGCGCCGCUCGGCACGGCGGAGACUGGUAAGAUCGGGUUUCCCGUUCCCGGACGGUCCCCGGCCGACGCUCCGUCUCAUUCGGCCGACCCGUCAGAUUCGGACAGCGACGACGAGCCGCGGCGCUCGGCUCCGGAGGAGCUCACCGACCUGCGCUUCGACUUUGAAGUCAAAGAGGUGCUGCUGGAGCUGACGCGGCGAGGCGACGGGGAGGGGACCGCGGCGCUGGCGCUGGGCGUUUGCCAGCUGGGGGCCCGGGGCCAGAUGAGGACCUUUGACACCGGCGUCACGGCGUACCUGCGGAAGAUCACGCUGGACUACUACCGUGUACCGGGCGGCGAUCCCCUUCGCCUCAUCAGCUGCUCGGAGGAGCGAAACGCCGACCUUCUCAAGGUGGACUACGUCAGGGCCGACGCGGACGGGCCCGGCUUCCGGACGCUCUUUGACGGCACGGAGCAAAAGCUGGAGGUGGCCUUUUCGUCCCUGGACUUUCAUCUGGACGCCAAGGCUUUGCUGUCCGCCGCGGAAUUCCUGUUCGGCGCCGUCCCGCCGCAUCUUCGCUCUGGACGCGACCCGGACGGCGAGAAGCGGGCGGACGAAGGGCGGGACGGGACGGCGCCCAAAGGCGUCGGAGACCCGGACGUGAUCAGGUGGAAGUUGUCGGCGGCGCUGGGAUGUUUCCACGCCGAGCUUUGCGACGACCGCCGCAGCGUCGCCGACAUCCGAGUGCAAGGCUUGGAGGCGUCGGCGCUGGUCCGAGCCGAGCGGACGGAGGUGUCCGCUCGCCUCCGAGACGUCGCCGUGCUCGACGUCGACCCUCGCUGCGUUCACAAAAAGGUGGUGUCCAUUAUGGGUGAGGAGGUCUUCAGCUUGGAGCUGUCUUUGUUUCCGGGGUCCACCCUGGGGGACAACUACGGGGACAUGUCCAAGGUGGACGGCAAGGUCACCCUGCGCCUGGGCUGCAUCAAGAUGGUCUACCUGCACAAGUUCCUCACGUCGCUGCUGAUGUUCGUGGACAACUUCCAUCCCGCCAAAGAAGCGGUGAGCGCGGCCACGGCUCAGGCGGCGGAGAAGGCGGCGUCCGAGGUGCGCCGCUUGGCCCGCAAGAGUUUCCGCCUGUCCACGGACAUCCGGCUGAAGGCGCCUCUGGUGGUGGUGCCGCGCUCUUCCGCCUCCCGUGACGCCAUACUGGUGGACCUGGGCCUCAUCACCGUGUCCAACGGCUUCUCCGUGGUUCCGUCCCGAGGAUUCUCGCUGCCCGCCGUGGUUGAAGAGAUGGACGUUCGGCUCACGCAACUCAAACUCUCCAGAGCCACAUCUUGCGCUUCGUACAUUGAGAUUCUGGAGCCUGUGAAUGUCGAGCUGGCGGUGACCAGAAACAUGGCCUCUUCCUGGUUCACCGAAAUCCCGGGGACUCGCAUGCGAGGCGUCCUGCCCUCUCUUAAGUUGAGCGUGGGGGAGCAGGACCUGCUUGUGUUGAUGAAGAUUCUGCAGGAGAAUAUCGGCGAGGGAAGUAAGGAGCGCCGCGACGGAGAGGACGGCAAGAGGGCCGAAGACGAGGCGGAGUCCGAGGAGCGGCGGGCGGCGGCGGCGGCGACAUCGGCGGCGGAGUCCGAGGAGCGGCGGGCGGCGGCGACAUCGUCGGCGGAGUCCGAGGAGCGGCGGGCGGCGGCGGCAUCGUCGUCACCGUCGAGGCGAGGUAGCGGCGGCGCGGCGGAGGCCGUCGCUAACGGCGCCGAUAACACCGUCAACGUCUCGAUGAACUUUGAAAUCAGUGAGGUUCUGCUGACCUUGAAGAAGAAAGCAGACGGCGAGGUGGAAUCUCCUUUCCUGGAGUUCCACCUGGCUCAUCUGGGAAUGGACACCAAAGUCAGGAAGUACGACACCUGUGCCACCAUGUACAUCAACAAGAUGAUGCUCUCUUAUCUGGAGUUCAAAGACCCCGGCGGUGAACCUCUGCGUCUCGUCAGCUCAUCGUCCGGCGACGAGCUGCUCAAAGUCCAGUACUUCAAGGCUGACCGCUUUGGUCCAAACUUCUCCAGCGUGUACAAGAACACGGAACAGAUGAUCAACGUGAACUUUGCCUCCCUGGACCUCGUGCUGCACACGCAGGCUCUCCUGUCCGCCGUCCGCUUCUUCUCGGGGGUUCUGGCUUCGGGCGGCGGCGCGACCUCUGCCGAGAAACCGAUCGGGUCCGAGGCUCGAGACGGCAAAGCCGCGGCCGGUGAGUCCGCCGGUCAAUCGCGUCUUUUUGGACCCGGCGCAUCGACGGUCGAUCCGCGUUUCCCGCCAGACGGCUCCGCGGGGCCCGCCGUCGGCGAGAUAAUCGGCCUAAAGGCGAUGGUGGCUCUGGGGGCCUUCAACGUCCUGGUGUGUGACCAAAGAAGCAAUAUUGUGGACAUUAAAAUCCAAGGUCUUCACGGCUCCCUGUUGGCGCAAGGACCUCAAACUCACAUAUCGGCCCGCCUGAAGGACUUUGCGGUUCUGGACGCGGAUCCCGCGAGCCUCCACCAGAAGGCCGUCUCCAUCGUGGGGGACGAGGUGUUCAGUUUCUCCGUGAGCCUAACACCCAACGCCACGGAAGGCGCCGGGUACGCCGAUACGUCCGAAUCGGACGGACGGCUCAAGCUGAACGUCGGCUGCGUCCGGGUGGUCUACUUGCACAAGCUGGUCACGGCUCUCCUGAACUUCACCGAUAACUUCCAGACGGCCAAAGCGGCGGUGAGCGCCGCCACGGCUCAGGCGGCGGAGAGGGCGGCGUCCAGCGUUCGGGACUUUGCCCAGAAAUGCUUCCGUCUCUCCACGGAAGUCAAGCUGAAGGCGCCUCUGGUCGUCGUCCCGCGCUCGUCGACGUCCUACGACGCCCUGGUGGCGGACCUGGGUCUGAUCACCGUGUCCAACGCCUUCUCCUUGCUGCCCGUCGACGGACGUCCUCUCCCGGCCGUGGUCGACAACAUGGACGUACGACUGACUCAGCUCAAAGUGUCUAGGACGUGUUUGGACCCGACCGGGUGCGGACCCUCCAGCGAGCUUCUAGAACCGGUCAACCUGAACCUGAGGAUCAACAGGAACUUGUCCGCCUCCUGGUACGACAAGAUGGCAGCCGUGGAGUUGGACGGAGACCUAAAGCCAAUGAAGGUGGCGCUGAGCCGGGAAGAUCUGAAGGUGCUGCUGAAGAUCCUCACUGAGAACCUGGCCGAAGCCGGGGGCCCGGCGCCGGCCGGCGAGCCCGAGCCGGCGACCGCUUUACAGCUUCCGGUAACCGCCGGCCCUCAGACAGGCGGAGCCGGGAAGCGGGUCGUCCCGGAUAAAGACGAGGAUGAAAGCCCGGAGUCCGUCAAGUUCAACUUCACUAUCGAGUCUCUGGGAUUGGUUCUCUACCAAGAUGAGCCCACGAAGUCCUUCGAGCAAAGAAAGCACCGUCUUGGCGAGUUCGCCCUUCACCUGCUGAAGGCCUCCGGGAAGAUCUUUAACAACGGCGGCGCCGAGUUCAACGCCGUCCUGACCGAUUGCACUUUGGACGACCAGAGGACGGGCGUGGACAGGGUCACCUCGCGGAUGGUGAGCCGUCGCGACGACUCCGGCGGAGGCGCCGCCGUCGACGUCACGUACCGGCAAAGCGCCGGCGAGCGCUCCGUCGUGGCCGUCCUGCAGAAGCUUUACGUGUGCGCCAGCGUGGAGUUCCUGACGGCCGUGGCCGACUUCUUCCUGCGGGCUCUGCCGCCGCGGCCCCUCCCCAAAAGCGACAGGCCGAGGCACGCGGCGGAACAGAGGAAGCGUCCCGAGGCCGCGCCCCCGUUCAGGACCGCCGUGCGCGCGGUGGUGGUGGACCCCGAGGUGGUGUUCGUGGCCAGCCUGAUGGACGCCGCCGCUCCGUCCUUGGUGCUGUCCUUCCAGUGCGACGUGAGCGGCGAAACGGAGGGGGACGGGAGCCGGACCCUGAAGGCCCAGCUGAUGGCCCUCCACGUCCUGGCCUGCCCCUUCAUCCGCCAGCGGGAGGACAAGGCCGUCACUACCGUUCUGAGACCCUGCUCCGUUGCCGCCGAAAUCAAAAGCGGUCCCGGGCGAGCGCCGGUCGGAUCCGUUGCCGUGGAGGAGGUCCUCGUCAAGAUUUCUCCGUUCAUCCUCAACACGAUCGGCACCAUCACGGCGGCCAUGACGGCCGGCCGGCGGAGCGACGACGAGAGCGAGGACCGGCCGGGCGAGGACCUCAAAGACCUCUGGGCCACCGAGAACAUCUACGACUGCGACUACUGGUUCCUGGGCGUGGAGCGGGCCAGCGAGGUCACAGAGAACUUCCGGGACCGAGAGGAUCUCGACGUAGGCCAGCGUUUCGAUGUCCAAGUCAAAGUCAUCCAAGUGACCCUGGAGUCGGGUCCGGGUCACCGUACGGUCCCGCUGCUGCUGGCCGAGUCCUCCUUCGGCGGGUCGGCCGAAAACUGGUCCUCCCUCCUGCGGCUCAAAGCCAACCUGACAUUGGAGGUCAACUACUUUAACGAGGUCCACGCUGUGUGGGAGCCGCUGAUUGAACGCGUGGACGGCGGAGCGCGUCGCUGGAACCUGGACUUGGAGGUGAAAACCAAUCCGGUGGCGGACAAGAGUCCGGCCCACGGGGACGAAUUUGUCAUCCUGCCGGAACCGCGCACGGCCAUCCGCGUCUACUCCGACGACACCCUCAACGUCACCUUGUCGCGUUGCGCCCUCGACGUCUUGGGCAACCUGGCCCGGGCCUUCUCGGAGGGCGCCGCGUCCACCUUCGACCCGUCGGCCAAGGAGAAAGCGCCGGUCGCCGUCUUCAACGCUCUGGGCGUCCCGUUACUGGUGCGGCACAGCGCCAACUUGAGGCCGGUGGGCGCCGCGCAGCAGGGGAAACUGCAGGAGCUGCCGCCCCUGAGCUGCAUGGAACUGGAACAUUCCGUCUUCGAGGCCUCGUCUCGAGGGAAACUGUCGGCUCUGCAGCGCCAGGAGAGCUGCUUCUUUCACCUCACCAUCGUGCCGUCGGGGUACAGCGAGAUGGCCGACGUCCCCGUGGACAAGCCGGGGCGUCGCCUGUACAACAUCCGCGGCCCCAACCUGCAGGAGUCGCUGUCGGUGGUGGUGCAGAUCGACGCCGCCGACGGCAACAAGCUGGUCACCGUCCGCUCCCCCCUGCAGAUCCAGAACCACUUCUCUGUGCCGUUCACCGUCCUCAAAUUCUGCCCGUCCAGCCGUGACCUGCGACCGGUCGGAGUGGCGUGUCCCGAGAAGGAAUUCCACAUUCCCUUGGAUGCCUACAGGUGUCAGCUGUACCUUCGGCCGGCGUCGGCGGCCCUGUCCUCCCGCUACGCUCCGUCCUCCACGUGCCUGUCGUGGAAGGAGGAAGUGCACCGCAGCUCGGAGGUGCUCUCGCUGCUGUCCUGCCCGCCCCUGGACGGCGUCCUCCCCCUGACGAUCAGCGUCCUGGCCGCGCCCGACGACCUCAAGCACAUCGCCGGCGGCGAGGACGACUGGGACCCGGCGUACGUCCUGCACCUGCGGCCCGUGGCCGCGCUCAGGAACCUGCUCCCUUACACGCUCCGUUACACAAUGGAGAAUUGCGCCGAUUCUUACGAGCUGGCGGAGGGCGCCGCCGCGGAUCUUCUCAAUGCUCGCGCGAGCGGCGAGACGCUGUCCCUGGAGCUGCUCGGCUACCAGGGCCGCGACUGGUGCGGCCACCUGCGCCUGGACCGGGCCGCCGCCGGCGACUUCCCUGCCGUGUGCCUGACCUGCGACUCGGAUCGCGCCCUGACCCUGGAGCUGAGCGUCCACGCCGCGGCGGCGCCGGGUCGCCUCCUGCUCUCGCUCUUCAGCCCCUUCUGGAUCAUCAACAAGACGCGGCGGGUCCUGCGAUACCGGGCCGACGACGUCCAAGUCAAACAUCCUUCCGACUACAGGGACAUCGUCCUCUUCUCCUUCCGCAGGAAAAACAUUCUCAGCAAGAACAAGAUCCAGAUGUGCGUGUCCAACAGCUCCUGGUCGGACGGCUUCUCCCUGGACGCGGUGGGAAGUUACGGCUGCGUGCGUUGUCCCGGCAACAACACCACCGACUUCCUGGUGGGCGUGAGCAUCCGGAUGAGCGGCUUCAACCUCACCAAGAUGGUCACCGUCACUCCCUUCUACACGCUGGUUAACAAGUCGUCCUACGAGCUGGAGGUCGGGGAAUUAGUUGGUGCCGCCACCAGGUGGCACUACAUCUCCUCCACGGAGUGUCUUCCUCUGUGGCCCGAGAGCAAUUCCGGGAAGCUGCGCGUUCGCGCCGUGGGCGCCGAGCGGGGGUCCGAGUGGUUCGUCUUUGACCGGCAGGACAACGGCACCCUGCUGCGCCUGGACACGUGCGGGGGCAUCACGGUGGACGUCAACGUCUCGGACCACUCGGCCGUCGUCGGCUUCGGCGACUAUUACGAGGGAGCGGCCCCCGCCCUAUUGGUCAACCACACGGCCCGGGCGGAGAUCGUCUACCGGCAGAGCGGGUGUUCCGCCGACCACCGGCUGGAGCCCGGCCAGGCUCGACGCUUCGCCUGGGACGACCCCGCCGGAGUUCGAACGCUCAGCUGGAGCUGCGGGGAACGUUCCGGAGAGACCCGUCUCCUCAAGGACGAGUGGGGUCAGUUCUGGCGUGACGGGGGGCUUUCCCAGGUCUACUGGGUGUCCUUCCUGGACGGGCGUCAGCGCGUCCUGAUCUUUACGGAAGACGCGGGCGUGGUGACCAAAGCUCGGCAGGCCGAGGAACUGGAGCAGUUCCGGGAGGAGCUUCGGCUCUCGCUCCGGAACCUCGGGCUCUCCCUGGUGGACCACGUCGGCCGGAGGGAAGUGGCUUACGUCGGCGUCGCCAGUUCGGGCGUGGUGUGGGAGAUGAAGCGCAAAAACCGUUGGAAGGCGUUGAGUCAAAAGCACAUCAACCUGCUGGAGGAGGCCUACCAGAGCGUCAGGAGCGGCCGUUCGCCCGGCGGACGGACAAAAGUGGACGACGACCUGGAGGUGGACCUCGGCGGCGCUGCCGGUGGCGGCGCCGUGACCAUGCGCCGGCCCUUCGCUUGCCCCCUCAGGAGGAACUUCCUGUCGGGCGUCCAGGUGGAGUUGAAACGAUCUCUCCACCAACGGAGUCUUCGGGCGCAACUGCACUGGCUGCAGGUGGACAACCAGCUUCCGGGCGCCGUCUUCCCCAUCGCCUUCCACCCGGUUCCACCUCCCAAGUCGGUGGCUAUGGACGCUGAGCCCAAAGCCUUUCUGGACAUGUCGGUCAUCACGCGCUCCAACCAACACAGCAACGUCACGCAAUUCAAGUACUUCAUGGUUCUGGUCCAGGAAAUGGCCGUGAAGAUGGACCGAGGCUUCCUGUCGGCCAUCUUGGCUCUCUUGGCGCCCGCCGACCCUCCGCCGGCCGGGGGACAAAAGAGUGAGCUGCUCCAAAAAGACAUGGAGAUCCUGCAGGCCGAACUGAUGCAAAGUUCUCUGGACGACUCGUCCGGACUCAACUUUUUUGAACACUUCCACAUCUCUCCUGUCAAGCUCCACCUGAGUCUGUCGCUGGGCCCGGGUUCGGCGGACGACGCCGGCGCCGAGUCGCUCAACCUGCUCCUGAAGAGCAUCGGCGCCACGCUGACCGACGUGGACGACCUGGUCUUCAAGCUGGCUUACUUUGAGGUGGAGUACCAGUUUUAUCGCAGGGAGAAGCUGGCGCAGGCGGCGACGCGGCACUACAGCGAGCAGUUCUUGAAGCAGAUGUACGUCUUGGUCCUGGGUCUGGACGUGCUGGGGAACCCCUUCGGGUUGAUCCGGGGGCUGUCCCAGGGGGUGGAGGCCUUCUUCUACGAGCCCUUCCAGGGGGCGGUCCGAGGCCCCGAGGAGUUUGCCGAGGGCGUCGUCAUCGGCGUGCGCAGCCUUCUGGGUCACACCGUCGGGGGCGCCGCCGGCGUGGUGUCCAGGAUCACGGGCUCGGUGGGCAAAGGCCUGGCGGCCAUCACCAUGGACAAAGAGUACCAGCAGCAACGGAGAGAGGAAAUGAACCGAGCCCCCAAAGACUUCGGACAGAGUUUGGCCAAAGGCGGCAAAGGACUUCUCAAGGGUGUCGUCAGCGGAGUGACCGGCAUCGUCACCAAACCGGUGGAGGGGGCCAGGAAGGAAGGCACGGCCGGUUUCUUCAAAGGCAUCGGCAAAGGUCUGGUGGGCGUGGUGGCCCGCCCCACGGGCGGCAUCGUGGACAUGGCCAGCAGCACGUUCCAAGGCAUCCAGAGGGCGGCCGAGUCGACUGAGGACGUGGUUAAACUCCGCCCGGUUCGGCUGAUCCGAGAGGACGGAAUCAUCCGAGCCUACGACCUGGCCGAGUCGCGAGGCUUUGACCUUUUUCAGCGUUCGGAGCUGAAGCGCUUGGAUGGCGAAGUAUUCCGAGAUCAGUGUCCUUAUCCCGGGCGAAGAAAGAGCAACGUCAUGGUCACCAACAGGAGGGUGGUGUGCAUCAAGGAGUUGGAUUUUGUGGGCCACUUCACCAAAGAGUGGGAGUGUUUGUACGAAAACUUCUACGCGCCUCCCGACGUCGCCGGCACGCGGCUCAACAUCUACUGCGAGGUAAAGCCGAUCCCUCCGGAAAAUGCGACGGCUCGCAAGGAUUGGGUCUCUUUGAUUGGAUUUUGGGUCUUCCUGUCCAUAUUGGGGCAUUUCUGGAUCCUUUCAUCACUGAUGUUGUUUUUGGAUAUCCCGCCAUUGACGACGACGGGCGUCAAAUUCAUUCCAACCGGGAGGACCGGUCGCAGACGCUCGACGUCCGAUCCAUUUUGAGUGGAAUUUUGUGACUGGCGAGAUGAAACGGUGAUGUCUUCCAGGAGCCCCACAAGUUGAAACUUGGCAAAAAAGAAGAGAGGAGUCGCUGCAUCGAGCUGAGAGAUGAAAAGACGGCCCUGAGGAUGCUGUCGUCCAUCACGACCGCUCGGGCGGCUCACCUGCAGCGUCGCAUGAGCCGACAAAAGUCGCGGCGCUUCC